GACGAACGCUGGCGGCGUGCUUAACACAUGCAAGUCGAGCGGUAAGGCCCUUUCGGGGGUACACGAGCGGCGAACGGGUGAGUAACACGUGGGUGACCUGCCUUUAGCUCUGGGAUAAGCCUGGGAAACCGGGUCUAAUACCGGAUAUGACUCCGCGGCGCAUGUUGUGGGGUGGAAAGCCUUGUGCGGCUGGAGAUGGGCCCGCGGCCUAUCAGCUUGUUGGUGGGGUGAUGGCCUACCAAGGCGACGACGGUAGCCGGCCUGAGAGGGCGACCGGCCACACUGGGACUGAGACACGGCCCAGACUCCUACGGGAGGCAGCAGUGGGGAAUCUUGCGCAAUGGCGAAAGCCUGACGCAGCGACGCCGCGUGA
rnacentral:rRNA from 1 species